AUUAAGAGCUACAGUGACACAAAAGUCACUAGUUCAAAUCACAUCCACCAUUCCAUACCGCACUUUCAAGUAGAAUUUUUCAUGUGGUGUAUAAAAGGCCCAUACCACAUUUCACAUUGCAAACCUAAAGGGUCUUUUUUUUCAAUAGUAAAAAAAUUCAUUAAUAAAAAGUCAUACGACAUCUACAAAAGAGAUUCGGUUUUAAAAAUACAUAAGAUAUUGAAUCAAAUAAAUAUUCAUUCAUAAAACUACAAUCAUCGAGUAGAUCUUGCAUUGUGGAAUAUAUCCCACUCAUAUCGCUGGAAAAGCCUUGUUGGAGAGACAAUCUAACGAUCCUUUGUAGCCGUAAGGAUGUUUUCCUCCUGAUUCAUCUGUUUGUAUUCGAAGCUUAAUAACCCCUGCGAUCUCGCAUAAUUUUUCACCAACGAAAUAAUUUCACAACAAUCCAUUAGAUCUAAUAUCAUGUAUUCAAACCUAAAAAGAUUCUCCCCCGAAAAGAGGAGAUAAAUCUAUCUGUCAAAAGAGGUUGAAAAAUUCUUGUCUUUCGAAAAAGAUAGGAAACCCUUUCUUUCGAGGGAGAAAAGUUCCUCCUAAAAGGAGGAAGCAUUAUUAUAAACCUAAAAAAACUUUUAAAGAAACAAGGAUGGAGGCUUUCCACCGGUUAAAACCGAUGAAAGCCCCUUAAAAAAACAACAAUGGAGGCUAGGGUUGAGGAGGGAGGAAGCACCUAAAGGGUAGUGGUGGCAAUUUGGGUCAGGUCGGGUUCGGAUCAGAUUUCGGGUCUAUUUUGGAUUAUGUUUAGAAACAAUCGAAAAUAACGUAAAACUUAAAAUUAUUACGAAAUAUGAAAUAUGGGUCAAAUCGGGUCGAAGUCUUUCUAAUUAUCCAAAAAAUUAGAACAUCCAUAAUGGCGAGCUACAUGUACAUGUAGCUUUGGGUUGCCACAUCAUUAAUCCCCAAGCUACAACCUCUACAAUAGUAAGUUACAUCCUUUUGUAAUAUAUAAAUUUUAAAAAAAUAAACAAACAAAUACAUAAAAAAUAUUAAACAAAUCAAUAUAUGUGUGUUGGGUGGAGUGAUAGAAUUAUGUAGGUUGGCUUAGCUAUAAGUGGUUGUAACUCUACAAUGACUAGCAUGUACCUAGAAUAAUUGCUAGCAGGUCCUUAUGCACAAUUAUUGUGAAUGCUCUUACGAAUUUUGACAGAUUUUUGCUUGAAUUGUUCGAUAUGUCGGUGUCAUUCUCGUGUUAUUGUUCAAACUUCGAAGUUACUCCGUAUACGAGUUAAAGAGCUUCAACUUCAACACUAAUUAAAUUCCAACUAUCUUUUACUCUCUCAUCCCAUAUGAUCAAACAUGGGUCCUCACAAUUCAAUUUACAACAAUUGGGUGUUCACCGUAUUAAUCUUGUAUUUAUGGUCUCAAUCUAAAUGGGUCAAAAUCAUCUGGGUUUCUGGGGCCAACUCAGAAUCCGACCCGAAUUCCCUCGGUCAAGAAUUACUGGAAAUGGCCAGAAAUCCCGAGUUCUUCGAUUGGUUGAAGAAGGUGAGGAGAAGAAUCCAUGAAAACCCAGAACUUUCAUUUGAAGAGUACAAGACGAGUCAACUCAUCAGAUCAGAGCUUGACUCGCUGGGAAUUGAGUACACGUGGCCAGUUGCUAAGACUGGUGUUGUCGGGUCAAUCGGGUCCGGGUCACAACCUUGGUUUGCUCUCAGGGCUGACAUGGAUGCCCUCGCCAUUCAGGAAAUGGUAGAAUGGGAAAAUAAGAGCAAGAUCAAUGGUAAAAUGCAUGCUUGUGGGCAUGAUGUGCAUGUCACGAUGCUUUUGGGAGCUGCGAAGUUGCUGCAACAGAAGAGGAAAGCCUUAAAGGGAACUAUUAAGCUGAUUUUCCAACCUGCAGAAGAAGGUCGUGCUGGUGCAUAUUCUAUGAUACAAGAGGGUGCUAUUGACAAUGUGCAAGCGAUUUUUGGACUACAUGUUUCGCCUUACGCUCCUAUAGGAACAAUUGGAUCUAGACCUGGCCCUGUGCUUGCUGGUGCAGGCAAAUUUGUUGCAAUAAUUCAAGGAAAAGGUGAAAUGAGAGAUCCAAUUUUUGCAGCAUCCUCCACAAUAUUGUCGCUGCAACAACUUAUUUCUCGAGAGACAGACCCUCUUGAUGGAAGAGUGGUGACAGUGACCAUGGUCGAAGGCAACCAAGAGGGAGAUAUCCCCGAGACUGUUAAGUUUGGGGGGACUUUUAGGAGUGCAACUGCGGAGGGGUUGUCCAAUCUUCAAAGAAGGAUUAAAGAGGUCAUAGUGCUGCAAGCAGCUGUGCAUCGGUGCACUGCUACUGUUGAUUUUAUGGAAGAAAUAGCAAGGCAUUAUCCUCCAACCGUCAAUGACAAAAUGAUGUAUGACCAUGUGAAGGGCAUAGGAACAAUGUUACUCGGGGAAUCAAAUGUGCUUAUUUCUCCAUUUCUCAUGGGAGCAGAGGAUUUUGGCUUCUAUUCGCAGAAAAUUCCAGCUGCGUUUUUCAACAUUGGGAUAGCGAACAAAACAUUGAAUUCAGACAAGCCAUUACACUCGGCACACUUUUUUGUAGAUGUGGAUGCUCUCCCAAUUGGAGCUGCACUUCAUGCUGCUGUCGCGAUGUCCUAUUUGAAUGACAAUGCAGCAAUGCAAAGUCAAUAAGGAGCUUCGUGAAGUUGGCUUUUAUUUGCUGUAAGACAUCAGUGUACAGGAUAUGUUCUGAUAACUCCAUCACAUGAAAAAUGGUGGCUAAUUGAAUUCAGACUUCAGUUGCCUUGCUCCCUCGACCUUCCACUUCUUGCUACUGUAUAGACUUAUAGUUUGGUUAACAUUGUCAAAGGAGCCUGAUAUAGGAGAGAUUCAUUACAAGUGGACAAUCAAAGACAUCAAGUUAUGGAUGUCUACUUGUCUAGUAAUCGAAUGUUUUGUAUAAAAAUUUCAUAUCUUUUAUACCUUAAAUUUUAUACACUUAUCAUAUAAGGUGUUUGAAAUGUGUAUUAGAACAUAUCGAAAAUUUUAUUUAACGCGAAAAUGAUUUGCAUGGCUAAAAAUAUAACUUCUCUUUGCAU